UACGUAGGGUGCGAGCGUUGUCCGGAAUUACUGGGCGUAAAGAGCUCGUAGGCGGUUUGUCGCGUCGGCCGUGAAAUCUCCACGCUUAACGUGGAGCGUGCGGUCGAUACGGGCAGACUUGAGUUCGGUAGGGGAGACUGGAAUUCCUGGUGUAGCGGUGAAAUGCGCAGAUAUCAGGAGGAACACCAAUGGCGAAGGCAGCUCACUGGGACGGUACAGACGCUGAGACGCGAAAGCGUGGGGAGCAAACAGG
rnacentral:rRNA from 1 species